UAUGUGAUCGUCUCUCGCAUAUCAAUAAGCGGAGGAAAAGAAACUAACAAGGAUUCCCCUAGUAACGGCGAGUGAAGCGGGAAGAGCUCAAAUUUGAAAUCUUAAAGGGUUUCCCUUUACGAAUUGUAGUUUAAAGAAGUGUUUUCUGUUGAGGUUUUGGUAAAAGUUCUUUGGAAUAGGACAUCAUAGAGGGUGAGAAUCCCGUAUUUGACCUUUACUUUCAACUUUGUGAUACACUUUCAAAGAGUCGGAUUGUUUGGGAAUGCAGUCCAAAAUGGGUGGUAAAUUUCAUCUAAAGCUAAAUAUUGGCGAGAGACCGAUAGCGAACAAGUACCGUGAGGGAAAGAUGAAAAGAACUUUGAAAAGAGAGUUAAACAGUACGUGAAAUUGUCAAAAGGGAAGCGUUUGACACCAGUGUUGUUUUUCUGAAAAUCAAUUAAAGAACUGUUUAUGCUAAGUUGUUUAGACUUUAUCAGCUAUCUGCUUAGUUUUGAGCUUUUCUUUAAUGCACUUUUCAGUUAACAAGUCAACAUCAAUUUCUUUUGCUGUAAAAAAGCUUGAGGAAGGUGGCUUGAGAUUCGUCUUAAGUGUUUAUAGCCUCUUGUCUAUGCAGUCGGAGAGAUUGAGGUCUGCAGCGUAGAUCCUUCGGGGCUAAAUGCAUUUGUGCUAAGUUAUAACAUUUUAUAGACAACUUGUUGACUAUGAUUUGUCUUGUAGCUUACUCGCUUAUGUUAUUUUACCUACGCUUAGGAUGUUGAAGUCAUCGUAUCGCGC
rnacentral:rRNA from 1 species